CUAAUUACCCUAGUUAGCCUUAAGCAAAUUCGCGCCCAUCAAAUUUGCAUCCAGCAGCCUCCAGUUCUCAGUGAAUUCAUUCAUCUUCAACAAAAAAUUGUCCAUUGCCGCGCCGCUCACUGCCACCUAUUCGUCUGAAACACUGCCGCCAACUGCCGCGCCGCUCGUCUGGCCACCGUCGACUGCUGCCUCUCUUCCGCUCUCUAUCUCUCUCACCCGCUUUAUCUCUAUCUCUAAUUUCUAUCUCUCUUCAUUUGCAGAGCCGCUGCCACCGCCGAGGAUGUUAUUCCGAAGGCUAAAGGUUUGAUUGCUGCCAUCAGAGAAGAGAAUUGCUGCCAUCUUUAAAUUAGCUAGAGGUUCGAUUUAUGCCAUUAUGUUUGUUUGCUUUGCUGAAGCUGAAGGAAAAUGAGAUUUAAAGCUGAAGAUUGAAAAUUCCAGAAAUAUUGUAGAAACGUCUGUUGCCGCUUUAGUCGUGUCAUCAUCGCCUCCAGCCUCUGAAUCAGUUCAUCAGCUUUCAUUCUUCAGGUAACAACUCAACUGAAAUUCAAAAAUGUAUUUAUGGCUCGAAUUUUAGGGGCAGAUUAUUAUGAAGAAUUGAUUGCGUGAAUUGAAUAUGGCAUAUUCUUUUAUUUAUCUUUUUUCGAUGUUUGCUGAAUGAUUGGAUUGGAAAUUUAGAUCUUUCGUUGAAACCUUCA